AGGAGGGUGUAUGGUGCACUUCACAAAAUAGAUGGCAUCAUGAGGGAGGGAAAUUAUGUGGAUAUAUUGAAGCAACAUCUAAAGACAUCAGUCAGGAAGUUAAAGCUUGGUCGCAAAUGGGUCUUCCAAAUGGACAAUGACCCCAAGCAUACUUCCAAAGUUGUGGCAAAAUGGCUUAAGGACAACAAAGUCAAGGAAUUGGAGUGACCAUCGCAAAGCCCUGACAUCAAUCCUAUAGAACAUUUGUGGGCAGAACUGAAAAAGUGUGUGCGAGCAAGGAUGCCUACAAACCUGACUCAGUUACACCAGCUCUGUCAGGAGGAAUGGGCCAAAAUUCACCCAACUUAUUGUGGGAAGCUUGUGGAAGGCUACCCGAAACAUUUGAUCCAAGUUAAAACAAUUUAAAAGCAAUGCUACCAAAUACUAAUUGAGUGUAUGUAAACUUCUGACCCACUGGAAAUGUCAUGGAAUAAAUAAAAGCUGAAAUAAAUAAUUCUCUCUAAAAAUUAUUAUGACAUUUCACAUUCUUAAAAUAUAGUGGUGAUCCUAACUGACCUAAGACAGGGAAUUUUUACAAGGAUUAAAUGUCAGGAAUUGUGAAAAACUGAGUUUAAAUGUAUUUGGCUAAGUUGUAUGUAAACUUCUGACUUCAACUGUAUAUGAAUUUACAUCCAACUAAGAGCAAGUGGACAAAUGACAGCUUGGACUGACAAAACAUGUUUGACAUUAAGCAUACUGACAUAUACAGUGGGGCAAAAAAGUAUUUAGUCAGCCACCAAUUGUGCAAGUUCUCCCACUUAAAAAGAUGAGAGAGGCCUGUAAUUUUCAUCAUAGGUACACUUCAACUAUGACAGACAAAAUGAGAAAAAAAAUCCAGAAAAUCACAUUGUAGGAUUUUUAAUGAAUUUGCAAAUUAUGGUGGAAAAUAAGUAUUUGGUCAAUAACAAAAGUAUAUCUCAAUACUUUGUUAUAUACCCUUUGUUGGCAAUGACAGAGGUCAAACGUUUUCUGUAAGUCUUCACAGGGUUUUCACACACUGUUGUUGGUAUUUUGUCCCAUUCCUCCAUGCAGAUCUCCUCUAGAGCAGUGAUGUUUUGGGGCUGUUGCUGGGCAACACGGACUUUCAACUCCCUCCAAAGAUUUUCUAUGGGGUUGAGAUCUGGAGACUAGCUAGUUCACUCCAGGACCUUUAAAUGCUUCUUACGAAGCCACUCCUUCGUUGCCCAGGCGGUGUGUUUGGGAUCAUUGUCAUGCUGAAAGACCCAGCCACGUUUCAUCUUCAAUGCCCUUGCUGAUGGAAGGAGGUUUUCACUCAAAAUCUCACGAUACAUGGCCCCAUUCAUUCUUUCCUUUACACGGAUCAGUCGUCCUGGUCCCUUUGCAGAAAAACAGCCCCAAAGCAUGAUGUUUCCACCCUCAUGCUUCACAGUAGGUAUGGUGUUCUUUGGAUGCAACUCAGCAUUCUUUGUCCUCCAAACACGACGAGUUGAGUUUUUACCAAAAAGUUAUAUUUUGGUUUCAUCUGACCAUAUGACAUUCUCCCAAUCUUCUUCUGGAUCAUCCAAAUGCUCUCUAGCAAACUUCAGACGGGCCUGGACAUGUACUGGCUUAAGCAGGGGGACACGUCUGGCACUGCAGGAUUUGAGUCCCUGGCGGCGUAGUGUGUUACUGAUGGUAGGCUUUGUUACUUUGGUCCCAGCUCUCUGCAGGUCAUUCACUAGGUCCCCCCGUGUGGUUCUGGGAUUUUUGCUCACCGUUCUUGUGAUCAUUUUGACCCCACAGGGUGAGAUCUUGCGUGGAGCCCCAGAUCGAGGGAGAUUAUCAGUGAUCUUGUAUGUCUUCCAUUUCCUAAUAAUUGCUCCCACAGUUGAUUUCUUCAAACCAAGCUGCUUACCUAUUGCAGAUUCAGUCUUCCCAGCCUGGUGCAGGUCUACAAUUUUGUUUCUGGUGUCCUUUGACAGCUCUUUGGUCUUGGCCAUAGUGGAGUUUGGAGUGUGACUGUUUGAGGUUGUGGACAGGUGUCUUUUAUACUGAUAACAAGUUCAAACAGGUGCCAUUAAUACAGGUAACGAGUGGAGGACAGAGGAGCCUCUUAAAGAAGAAGUUACAGGUCUGUGAGAGCCAGAAAUCUUGCUUGUUUGCAGGUGACCAAAUACUUAUUUUCCACCAUAAUUUGCAAAUAAAUUCAUUAAAAAUCCUACAAUGGGAUUUUCUGGAUUUUUUUUUCUCAUUUUGUCUGUCAGUUGAAGUGUACCUAUGAUAAAAAUUACAGGCCUCUCUCAUCUUUUUAAGUGGGAGAACUUGCACAAUUGGUGGCUGACUAAAUACUCUUUUGCCCCACUGUACCAUUGUCAAACUCAAUUUCAUAUUCUGCUUUAGUUAUGUUGAGUCAACACAUAGAUCUGUCAAAGAUGGACUCAGAACACAUACAACUUUGUUUAAAAAAAAAACAUGACUGUAUUAUCACCUGUGACACCAGCACAUGACAAAAUCAUGUGAACCAAGACAUGCUGAAAAUAUAUUACAAUUCUGGGUAAAACCUUGAAGCAGGAGUUUUUGGUUGAUACUGUAGGACCCUUUCAGCUUUCAAAAAGACCACUUGCUCAGUAAAAUAACAUUUACCGUCGAUUCCAUGGGAUUUUUUCGCUCUUUUUUUAAUCUAAAAAUUACAGUUAACAGUGAAUGAGUUGAGUCCACUCCUUAGCAAACAACUGCCCAUCAUCAGUAAUCAGAUACAACUGGAUAAAAUGUGCACCCUUGGCAACACAUUUAGAUAAGAAUGUGAACAGACUAGCUAGCCUGGUUCCAGAUCUGUUUGUUCUCUUCCCAAUGCCAUUGGUUUCGUUGUCAAGACAAUCACCAUCCUCUAUUCUUCAUUGUUUUGUUUGAAACAAACAAUAAAAUAAUACAGCAGUUACUCAUACUGUAGGAAAAAUAUUGCAGACAGUGUAAAAUUAUAUAAAGCCAAUAAAUCCAUGAAUUAAUCAAUUCAUAAAUCUGUUCCCUUUUUCUGCUUUAUGAAGUGCAGUAAAUGUUUUUUGUUUGAAAGGCAAUAUUUUUUUGUGAUGGUCCAAAAUAUGUUUCCUCCGUGGUAAGAGGACAUCAGCAGGUCCAGCAGCCAUCACAGCAAUCCUUAUGGUCAGUGCAACUACAAUAUUAUAGCAGUUUCAACAAACUUCUAGGCCUACUUACAAGAGACAGAGCUAACCUGAGAUGCAAAUAAUCCACAAAAUUAGGGAUUUGUUAUACGAAUAAAUUACUAUUUAUUUUACAUUUACAGUGCAUACGGAAAGUGAUGCAAAGAUGGUUGUCCUUCUGGAAGGUUCUGCCAUAUCCACAGAGGAACUCUGGAGCUCUGUCAGAGUGACCAUUGGGUUCUUGGUCACCUCCCUGACCAAGGCCCUUCUCCCCCGAUUGCUCAGUUUGGCUGGGCGGGCAGCUCUAGGAAGAGUCUUGGUGGUUCUAAACUUCUUCCUUUUAAGUAUGAUGGAGGCCACUGUGUUCUUGGGGACCUUCAAUGCUGCACACAUUUUUUUGGUACACUUUCCCAAAUCUGUGCAUCGAACACAAUCCUGUCUCGGAGCUCUACGGACAAUUCCUUCGACCUCGUGGCUUGGUUUUUGCCCAAACAUGCACUGUCAACUGUGGGACCUUUAUUUUUAAAAAUAAUAAUUUAUACUUUUAUUUAACUAGGCAAGACAGUUAAAAACACAUUCUUAUUUACAAUGACGGCCUUCCAGGUGGGUUAACUACCUUGUUCAUGGGCAUAACGACAGAUUUUUACCUUGUCAGCUCAGGGAUUCAAUCCAGCAACCUUUUGGUUACUGGCCCAAUGCUCUAACCACUAGGCUAUCUGCCACCCCACAUAUAGACAGGUGUGUGACCGGAUUGUCAAGGCACAGAUCUGGGAAAGGGUACCAAACAAUUUCUGCAGCAUUAAAGUUCCCCAAGAACACAGUGGCCUCCAUCAUUCUUAAAUGGAAGAAGUUUGGAACCACCAAACCUCCUUGAGUGGCCCAGCCAGAGCCCGGAAUUGAACCCGUUCGAACAUCUAUGGAGAGACCUGAAACUAGCUGUGCAGCUACGCUCGCCAUCCAACCUGACAGAGCUUGAGAGGAUCUGCAGAGAAGAAUGGGAGAAACUCCCCAAAUAUAGGCGUUCCAAACUUGUAGCGUCAUACCCAUGAAGACUAGAGGCUCUAAUCGCUGCCAAAGGUGCUUUAACGUAGUCCUGAGUAAAGGGUCUGAAUACUUAUGUAAAUGUGAUAUUUCAGUCUUUUAUUUUUAAUACAUUUGCAAAAAUGUCUACUAAAAACCUGCUUUUGCGUUGUCAUUGUGGGGUAUUGUGUGUAGAUUGAUGAGGGGAGGGAAACUAUUAAAUCAAUUUUAGAAUAAGGCCAUAACGUAACAAAAUGAGAAAAAAGUCAAGGGGUCUGAAUACUUUCCGAAUGCACUGUAUAUAUACAGUACCAGUCAAAAGUUUGGACACACCUACUCAUUCAAGGGUUUUUCUUUAUUUUCACUAUUUUCUACAUUGUCGAAUAAUAGUGAAGACAUCAAAACUAUGACAUGACACAUAUGGAGUCAUGUAGUAACCAAAAAAAGUGUUAAACAAAUCAAAAUAUAUAUUUUAUAUUUGAGAUUCUUCCGACUAGCCACCCUUUGCCUUGAUGACAGCUUUGCACACACUUGCCAUUCUCUAAACCAGCUUCAUGAGGUAGUCACCUGGAAUGCAAUUAAAUUAACAGUUGUGCCUUGUUAAAAGUUAAUUUGCGGAAUUUCUUUCCUUCUUAAUGCAUUUGAGCCAAUCAGUUGUGUUGUGACAAGGUAGGGGUGGUAUACAGAAGAUAGCCCUAUUUGGUAAAAGACCAAGUUCAUAUUAUGGAAAGAACAGCUCAAAUAAGCAAAGAGAAAUGAUAGUCCAUCAUUACUUUAAGACAUGAAGGUCAGUCAAUCAGGAACAUUUCAAGAACUUUGAAAGUUUCUUCAAGUGCCGUCGCAAAAAACAUAAAGAGUUAUGAUGAAACUGGCUCUCAUGAGGACCGCCACAGGAAAGGAAGACCCAGAGUUACCUCUGCUGCAGAGAAUAAGUUCAUUAGAGUUACCAGCCUCAGAAAUUGCAGCCCAAAUAAAUGCUUCUCAGAGUUCAAGUAACAGACACAUAUCAACAUCAACUGUUCAGAGGAGACUGUGUGAAUCAGGCCUUCAUGGUCGAAUUGCUGCAAACAAUACACUACUAAAGUACACCAAUAAUAAUAAGAGACUGGCUUGGGCCAAGAAACACAAGCAAUGGACAUUAGGCCGCUGGAAAUCUGUGCAAAUGUGAGAAUUUUGGUUCCAACCACUGUGUGUUCGUGAGACGCAGAGUAGGUGAACGAAUGCUCUCUGCAUGUGUGGUUCCCACCGUGAAGCAUGGAGGAGGAGGUGUGAUGGUGCUUUGCUGGUGACAGUGUCUGUGAUUUAUUUAGAAUUCAAGGCACACUUAACCAGCAUGGCUACCACAGCAUUCUGCAGCGAUACACCAUCCCAUCUGCUUUGCACUUAGUGGGACUAUCAUUUGUUUUUCAACAGGACAAUGACCCAAAACACACCUCCUGUGUAGGGGCUAUUUGACCAAGAAGGAGAGUGAUGGAAUGGUGCAUCAGAUGACCUGGCCUUCAUAAUCACCCGACCUCAACCCAAUUGAGAUGGUUUGGGAUGAGUUGGACCGGAAAACAAAAUUGUAUUUAAAAAGUGAAUGCAACUCUCUUAAUUUCUUUAACACCAGUAAUGUAUUGUGUUGAAUUUGCCUCAAUGUGUGUCAGUUUUGAUUUUCAUAUGUGGAACAGUUCCAUUUCAAUAAUAACGUUUUAGUUUUAUUUGUAUCAUUUGUAGUAAAAUGUUUAUGAUUAACCAUGUGACAAUGGUUUCACGUGGUUAAUCAUAAACAUUUUACUACAAAUUACACAAAUAUCGAAGUUAAAAUUUAACUAAUGUGAAAGCACUAGCCUCUGCCAUACGGACACAUUGAUACACUGUGAUCAUUGGCUAAACGGCCUAAACGAGCGCAUGGAACUCAGAGAUGGUCAAUGCAGCUCACACACCAGACCUAGGUGAUUAUUGAGUUGCGACUGUCAGUGAAAAGCAUCUGAAAUAUGUGUGAAGAUAAUGUGUCUCGAGUCUAAUUUAAAAUGUUGAGACAAGAAGAUGUGAGGCGAAAGAUAGUUUAUAGGCGCAUCUCUCUCCAGAAUGCAUGCGCUCAGCUCUCAGAAUCCACUAAACUUUCUCCCGACAAUUAUUGCGCUGUUAUUUAAUUUAACUAGACAAGAAAGUUAAAAACAAAUUCUUAUUUACAAUGACGGUCUACCCCGGCCAAACGCUCCCCUAACGACGCUGGGAAAAUUGUGCGACGCCCUAUGGGACUCCUGAUCGCGGCUGGUUGUGAUACAGCCCGGGACCAAACCUGGGUCUAUAUUGUUGCAUCUGACAUCUGUUGCACUGCGAAGCACUGAGUUGAUACAAUGUUGCAAUUUUGCUAGCGAUAACUCAAGUCAAGACAGAUCAAAAGGGAGGAAGACAGGCUGAGUAGAGAGAUGAAUGUGAUUGAAAUAACCAGAAUUUUAAUCAGUAUAUUUCCUACUGUGUUUUUAUUUGUCGGCUUCAUGUAGGCUAUUUUUACUUAUUUGACAAUACAUGUUUUAGGCCAACAGUGUGCUCGCGCACGUUAGGCUACGUUAAAUGAACUAACUUCUAGCUUGUUAGUCGCCCAUCUCGCCCCGUUACAAUGGGCUGUUUUCUGAUCAAGAGAAGAGUUCGGGUAGAAAUUGAAAAUCCAGAUCCUGUCUCCGAGGGUGCCAAAGAAGAAGAGGGAGAUAAGAAAAAGAAGUCGUAGAGAGAAACUCGGGAGCCACGACGUGAGGGGUGAGCACCAGAGCAGUUCGUCAGCCACCGUUAGCUUGCACUGUUAGCACAGCCACCGCCCCCUCCGAUUUAAGCCAGUCACCUGUUGAAGAACCAAUGCGCCCUCUUCUUCGGCGUUUUCCAGCCACAAAAGUUAGACAGCAGGAUCGCUACUUCAAUCAUAGAUGUAUGAGGAUUAUACAUGGCUGAAAUAGUAUAUUUCAAAGGAGCAUGCUUUCUGCUUUGCAUGCCGCCACUUUUAACGUCCAGGAAACCAUGGUGGAGAGAAAGCGACAUUUGCCCACGAUGGCAACCAGAACUGGAAGAAGGCGACAGGUUCGUUCAAGACACACAAUGCUAGUGUGGAGCAUAAAUAUGCAAUGACAGCGUGGAAUGAGUGGACUAUUCAGAAAGUGUCUGGCUCAACAAUAUGCAAUGCUCUAAGUGAUGAACAUUCGAAAAUAGUCCGAGACAACAGAGAGUAUAUGAGAGCAGUUGUGAAGUCAUUGCGUUACACUGCAUACCAGGGACUUUCACAGAGAGGAGACAUAGAAAACGACAUGGCUGUCAACCAGGGAAACUUCCUUGACCUUUUACAGGUCAUAGGCAAAUUCGACAAAACAGUUGCACAGAAAAUAUCAGAUAAUCCUAGAAAUACUAAGUACACGCAUCAUGAUAUACAGAAUGAAAUACUAGACAUUAUGGCAAAUAAGAUUAGGGAUCUGAUAAGUGGUGAAAUACAAGAUGCUAAGCUGUUUGCAUUGAUGGUAGAUGAGAGUAAGGACCUCAGGAGUUUCUUUAGAUCCCGAGUCGCUUUUCGCUACGAUCAAAGAGACUCUUACGCUUCGAACACACCGGCUGCGUCAUUGCGUUUCGAUACACCAGAAGUACAUUCAUUUCCAAUGGAACGCUGCAUUUGCCUUGCAGCAUUGCGUUGCAGAGGCAGUUGCAGUGCGUUCUGUGUGGUGCAUACGUUCGAUAAAUCGAACGUAUGCAUCAAAUUGUAUGAGUGGACUUGACAGAAAGUAGCAAAAUAUGAAUGUAGAUUUUUUUUUGUUGCACAUAUUCAGUAAAAAGGUGGGAUUACAUAAAAACAGUUUGAUUGCAUAAUUUCUUUACAUUUUUUAUUUAUUUAUUUGCCAAGUAUAUUAUUUAUUCGAUGACAUCCUCAAAUUAAUUGUGAGAGCCUAUAAUAUAAUUUCCCUCCAAAAUGCAGUUUGAGCGAAAUGCAAUAAUAAAUAGUCAAGAUAGGCAGAGUAGGCUCUUUCAACAAUGAGACCAACGUUGAGGAAGGUGGUAUGACUAUUUCUUUCACCCACACCUCAUUGGUUAGGUUAGCAAGCUAGGUUAGCUAGCUAGCUAACGCUAACUAGCCACAUCUAGCACAAGCUCACUACUAAACUGACCUGGCAAUCCUACUAUCGUGGACACUUGUCUCCAAGCAGCAUUUUUUGUGUUUAUGUCCCUGUAGCUGUCAGCAGCUGUGUCAAAAAGACACGGUUUUGAGGAUACUGCGAAAAUUAUUCUCUCCUCCAUGUGUCCAACCGCAUGCGACCAUUUGCAAAAGGUACCUGCAUCAGUAUAGUUGCCUAGUUGCGCAAAAUGUUAUGCAGCAGUGAUGCAAUGACGCAGCCGGUGUGUUCGAAGCGUUAGUAAAUGUAACAUUGAUCACACUGCGCCGUCAUGUCCGGCGUUCACAACGGGGCCCAGGAGAAAUUCAGAGAAGAGGUCCCUCAGGCAAUCUACAUUCAUUGCCACGCACACCGUCUCAAUCUUGUUUUGGUGGACUGUGUCAGAAACGUGAAGCCAGCGGGGGAUUUUGUUGUCACACGUAUCUGUCACACUGUCAGUAACCUCCGCGUCAUGUGAGCAGUUUUUCCUGCAUGCGGCGUGUAAAAACCUACCUGAGAAACAGAAUGGCAAACCCUCCACUCAGCAACCUUGCCUGCCUGUCCAUACACGCAGAAAGAACCAAGACCCUGGAUGUCCAGAAAAUUAUAGGCUCAUUUGCACUGAACCACAACAGACGCAUCGUCCUUCUAUAAAACUACACUUGAGCGCGCCUGUCCGGUAGCGGAAACAUGAUUCAAUUGCGCUGAUCUGGAUGGAACAAGAAGACGCAUGCGUAUUGUCGGCCUACAUGUAUUUUUGCAAUAGAAAUAUAAUCACUAAGAUUGUGAUAGCCAGUUAGUUUUACAAGUGUGUGCACAGUUAAUAGGCGUAGGCUAAAUGCAUUGUACUUCUCGUUGUGGCUGCGCUUUGGAUAUUAUUAAUUUCAUUUUGGACGUUAUGAUAGCCAUUUCAUCCGAAACAUUACCAAUGCACAGUUGUCUGAUUAUGCAAAUGGAAUUAAUGCACUUCUUGUUGUUGUCGCAUUUUGGAUGUAUUGUGUUGUAUUGUGCUAAAAGACUUGAGAAUGAGGAUGAGCUGAAGUCUUUCAUCUUUGCACGUGAAAGACGUUUUUGUCAUUGCCUUGUGGUCACUUGUAUUAUGCUUAUAGCUAUUUUGUUGAAUAUUCUUUGGCCAAAUUCAAUUAAAAACUACAUUUAUAUCGAAUGUGCUGUGUGCCAUAUCUGCUUUUAUUGAAAAAACGAGAACUUCCUUAUAACUCUGAAGUCAUGAAAAUCAACUAUUUUCUUAGCACCCCCAAGUAUUGGUCAAGCCAAUUGUUUGACCCAUUACCCAGGUGACAAAAACAUUUGAAAUUCCAAUAUAAAUAAUGUAUUAUAUAAACUCAAAAUAAUAUCAAUACUAAAAUAUACAUUGUAUACUGUAAGAAAUACCAUUGUAAAUAACACAAGCAUAUUGCUAUUACAUUGUUAUAACUAACUUCUUUCUAAAAAACAGGGUUUCUCACAAGCAGAAACUGAGACACACACACCCAGAGACAGAUGGCUGACACAGAACAUUCAUCAACACUGAUAAGGCAGGAAAGGCCUUGAGCAAGAGUGCUUGGGUCUGUAUUUCACGAAAUAAUGAGACACACACAUAACCAAGGACUGAGGGCUGACGUAAACCUUUCAUAAACACCGAUUAGAUAGGAACAUCUGCGCACACACCUAAAUCUCCUGUUUUAGCUGAACAUUUGGUAACAAAGAACUUUUGAUACAAGACUCAGAAGGAUGACGCACAGCUCAUCCGGACCAAUCUGAGAAGACAACAACCUGAUCAGGACCAACCAGAAAACCAGAUCUACCAGACUCAACCUACUUUCUGUGCUGUAUAAAAUGACUAUGUAUUUCUGUUAUCUGGGUUCUGUCUGCAGGUUCCUUACGAGCUGAAUGAACGAGUCCAUGCAUGUUUGUAUCAGAUAUCUUUACCUCUGAAUAAAACUGCUUUUUAUUAUACGAAUAUC